rnacentral:rRNA from 1 species
CUCAGGGAGGUAGUGACAAGAAAUAACAACACUGGAAAUUUUAUUUCUAGUGAUUGGAAUGUUGGGAAUUUAAACCCCUUUCAGAGUAACAAUUGGAGGGCAAGUCUGGUGCCAGCAGCCGCGGUAAUUCCAGCUCCAAUAGCGUAUAUUAAAGUUGUUGCAGUUAAAAAGCUCGUAGUUGGAUGUCUGCUGGAAGCAAUCAGUCCGCCCUAUUUGUAGGGUGUGCACUUGAUGAAUUCUGGCAUCUAUGUCCCAAUGAUAUACGCGAUGGUGUUAUUAAUAUAUAGGUUGAUCCUGUAUAUUAUAUACCCAUUUGUGUAAUAUUGGGAUAAUACCGUUACUUUGAGAAAAUUAGAGUGUUUGAAGCAGGCUAAUUGCCUUGAAUACUGCAGCAUGGAAUAACAAUAUAGGAUUUCGGUUCUAUUUUGUUGGUUUCUAGGACUGAAAUAAUGAUUAAUAGGGACAGUUGGGGGCAUUCGUAUUUAACUGUCAGAGGUGAAAUUCUUAGAUUUGUUAAAGACGAACUACUGCGAAAGCAUUUGCCAAAGAUGUUUUCAUUAAUCAAGAACGAAAGUUAGGGGCUCGAAGACGAUCAGAUACCGUCGUAGUCUUAACCAUAAACUAUGCCGACUAGAGAUAGGAAACUGUCAUUUUUCUGACUU